CUGUUCUUUGCCAGAUUUAACAACAACUUUGGCAUUGUCAAACUUGCUACAUUAUCAGCAAACCCAACUGUACCAACAUCAAUUGAUCUUCAAACCCAACCAUACCAACACCAGCUGACCUCUCUGUACCAACAUCAAUUGAUCUUCCACCCAACCAUACCAACACUAGCUGAUCUAUCCCUCCCACCUUCUCCAUUUGAUUUCCAAUAGAUUUUGAUUCAAUGAUAAAAAAAAGAACAAUGGACCAAAAUAACUUUAAAUCAAUGGAGUAAUAUUGUCAAAAAAGGGCAAAAUAUUAUUGUAGCAUACCAAAAUUUGGUAGUGACUUUGCCAAAAUGGCCCAAGAUUGGAUAAUUUGGCUGAUUCUCUUUGUGCCAAAUUUACUUUCCCUAUCUCUUUGUGCUUUCUAUAAUUACCAACAGUUCAAAAACUUCAAGCAUAAAAAGAUUGAAAUAGUAAAAGCACUUACAACUUGCCAAGGGUCUAUUUGAAUUAUAGAGUUAAAAAGAGGAUUUAUCAAGGGAAAGAAAAGUAAUAGAAAAGUCAAAUAAACAAAGUUACCUUCUUCAUUUUAUUGUUUUCUUGUCCUUUUCUUUACAUUUUCUUUUUCUUCAAUAAAUUACUUGCCCCUCAAAUUCACACCGGUACUGUCUACUAGGUGAUGGCUAAUAUACACUCUUUACAUAUAUCAAUAAUCAGGGCCGACUCUGGAAUAAGUCCAGCAAGCUAUUGAGCUUGGGCAACCACCAAGAUAGGGUGAACAUCAGCCCCCCCUUCAAUUUUUUUCUCUUUAUAAUUUGUAUGACUUUUUUUUUAGUAAUGUAUUAAUAGUACGAGAGUAAAUAUAUUGAGAUCGAGUUAGAACAACCCAAAUGUCAAAACUGGUCCUGUCAAUAAUACAUUACUUUUUUAUGCAUAUGAAUACGAACUCAUUUGGUGGCGAUUAACAUUUAUUUUUAUAAAUUCAAACGUGCAUAACAGCAUAAUCUUCGAGGUAAAUCCUACGAGAACAACCUAGGAAAACUCAGAACAAUAAAAAAACAAGAAUUACUAUAUUAAUUGAUAAACUUGAAACACCUAGCAAAAAAAAAUUAUGCAACUAUAUAUAGACCAAGACAGGACAGACGCCAUAAUUGAAGCCAAUGUCAUGGUUUAUACGUGAUUUGGAGAGAUCAUUGCAAAAGGGUGUGAACUUGAAAGAUGUUGUGAGUAAUGAGUUUUAUAGAUUUUCUAGCUAUGUGUUUCAGAUAAGAAUAUAUGAUUUAAAGCGUGUUAUUGAUGAUCCGAGGUAGGUAAGGAGCAUGACAUCUGAGAGAUCUGGUUUAGAUUCAUCAAUUUCAGUGCUUGUGUGGUGGAUGUCAGGAUUGUGCAGAGCAUAUUGGUUUUUGUGUUUAUUUUUUGGCACUUUCCAAAUUGUUUAUGGCCAGAGAUCAUUUACUCUAAUUAUAAACUGCAAAGUUGGAACACACAAUAAACUACAAGUAUUCUGUAGUACUUAUUUAAUAGAAGCACUUAAAAAUACUAUCUGUUAUUUAUACAUAAGAGGGCCAGAGGCAAUGGAUUGGUGUUGUGAGGUGAUAUGAGGAACAGUGGUUCCGCUUUAUAUGGAUGUUAGAUGAAUUUAAAAACUUAAAAAUACCUCUUCGUUGUACUAUCUUCUUGUCUACUAUCUUCUUGUCUUUUCUUUUACAUUUUUCCUAAAAUUUAAAUUUUAUGGUAAAAUUGAAUAAUUUUGGGUAAAAUCAUAUAACUUGUAGAGACUAGUGAGAAGAUUAUUCAUACGAUUUUUUUUUUUUAAAUUUGUAAUACAUGUGUAAAUAUAUAAUUAAAGCCAAUGUCAAUGUUCAUAUCUGUGAAUUUUUUGCUUAAACCAAAACCGACCAACCAACAGUUGGGCGGAUGUCGAUCGGUUUGAGUUUGCAGUUUUAAUGUAGUUUUAGCCGACUUCGCCAAAAGACUUUAUUUGUCUAAUUUAUUGAGUAUUUUUAUCUUUAGUAAACUUUUUUUUAAAUUAGAUGAUUUUUUUAUAUUUUCAGACAUUUCUUAUAAAAAGGAACCGAAUAAGUAUAAAAAAUUGAUUAAACGAUUAAACAAAUUCACUACGUAUGAAAAAAAUUAAAAACUAAAGUAAUAUAAAAAAAAACUAAGUCAAAUUGGGCCUAAAUACCCAUAUAAUGUUGUUAAAUAUUAAACUAUCAUUAUCAAAUACUUCUAUUGGCAUUGUUUUUUGAGAAAGUUUUAUGUAAGAUUAAAAUUUUGCUUUUAGGAAUUUUCGAUUUGUGUUGCAUUUAAGCAAAAAAAUUAUAUAAGAAAAAGAUUAAGUACAUAAUUUUUGGACACAACUGUUUCAUAAGAGGUGAAUCUCGUAUCAUAUAGGUUCCAUUAUAAGACAUACACAAUGUAAUAAGGAUAUGAUUGGAGUUGUUUUCGAAAAUUGUGUAGACAAACCUUGUUCUUUCCAUAAAUGUGUUUAUUAAUGACAGAUUUAAGGAGCAUGCCA
rnacentral:lncRNA from 1 species